rnacentral:rRNA from 1 species
GAUGAACGCUGGCGGCGUGCCUAAUACAUGCAAGUCGAACGAUGAAACCUAGCUUGCUAGGUCGAUUAGUGGCGUACGGGUGAGUAACACGUGACUAACCUGCCCCUUUCUCUGGGAUAACGCUCCGAAAGGGGUGCUAAUACCGGAUACUCACAUCGAGGCACAUGCCUUGGUGUGGAAAGUUUUUCGGAAAGGGAUGGAGUCACGGUUUAUCAGCUUGUUGGUGAGGUAACGGCUCACCAAGGCGACGACGAGUAACCGGACUGAGAGGGCGACCGGCCUCACUGGGACUGAGACACGGCCCAGACUCCUACGGGAGGCAGCAGUGGGGAAUAUUGCACAAUGGGCGCAAGCCUGAUGCAGCGACGCCGCGUGAGGGAUGAAGGUCUUCGGAUUGUAAACCUCUUUCAGUAGGGACGAAGCGAAAGUGACGGUACCUAAAGAAGAAGCACCGGCUAACUACGUGCCAGCAGCCGCGGUAA